UCCAGACUUUGAUUCUGGCUCAGGAUGAACGCUAGCUACAGGCUUAACACAUGCAAGUCGAGGGGAAACGACAUCGAAAGCUUGCUUCUGAUGGGCGUCGACCGGCGCACGGGUGAGUAACGCGUAUCCAACCUGCCCACCACUUGGGGAUAACCUUGCGAAAGUAAGACUAAUACCCAAUGAUAUCUCUAGAAGACAUCUGAAAGAGAUUAAAGAUUUAUCGGUGAUGGAUGGGGAUGCGUCUGAUUAGCUUGUUGGCGGGGUAACGGCCCACCAAGGCAACGAUCAGUAGGGGUUCUGAGAGGAAGGUCCCCCACAUUGGAACUGAGACACGGUCCAAACUCCUACGGGAGGCAGCAGUGAGGAAUAUUGGUCAAUGGACGAGAGUCUGAACCAGCCAAGUAGCGUGCAGGAUGACGGCCCUAUGGGUUGUAAACUGCUUUUAUAAGGGAAUAAAGUGAGUCUCGUGAGACUUUUUGCAUGUACCUUAUGAAUAAGGACCGGCUAACUCCGUGCCAGCAGCCGCGGUAAUACGGAAGGUCCGGGCGUUAUCCGGAUUUAUUGGGUUUAAAGGGAGCGUAGGCCGGAGAUUAAGCGUGUUGUGAAAUGUAGACGCUCAACGUCUGCACUGCAGCGCGAACUGGUUUCCUUGAGUACGCACAAAGUGGGCGGAAUUCGUGGUGUAGCGGUGAAAUGCUUAGAUAUCACGAAGAACUCCGAUUGCGAAGGCAGCUCACUGGAGCGCAACUGACGCUGAAGCUCGAAAGUGCGGGUAUCGAACAGGAUUAGAUACCCUGGUAGUCCGCACGGUAAACGAUGGACGCCCGCUGUUGGUCUGAAUAGGUCAGCGGCCAAGCGAAAGCAUUAAGCAUCCCACCUGGGGAGUACGCCGGCAACGGUGCAACUCAAAUGAAUUGACGGA
rnacentral:rRNA from 1 species